ensembl:lncRNA
CCCCAGAUCUGGUCCCGGAUGAGAUUCGGUGGUUCCUGACUCUGGGUGACCUUGGGCAAGCCCCCCUCUUUCUUCCAUUGUGGAACACACGCGCAGUGUCACACACUGUGUUAAACCCUGGGAUUUCCACGAUGAGAGAGACAGUGGCAGCCUGCAAGAAGUUUACAGUGAGCUGCGGGGUGGACAGACGCUGAUUUUCUGAUUGAUGACCGGACAUUGCUUUAUUUUUCCUUGCUUUUCUGAGUUAGGUGGUGGCCGGAGAGAUCAGGAGGACAGAAACAAAAUAUGAAACCGCACAUGUAUGGAUAACAGUAUUGCUGGCCUUUUUGGGUUUACAGCGGUGAAUAAGACAGACACAGCACCUGUCUUCAUGACAUUUGUGAUCUAUAAGCGAAAAGGAACAUGUAAACGAUGGAUGGCAAUGAAGUGUGGUGAGAAUUAUGCUAAUUCUCCCCUGGUUCCUUCAUGCCCUCACAGACUGAACUUAGCUCAGGGCUGGAUGCUCACUGGUACUCAAAUAUCCUUGUCCUGCAUUCAUUUUUUGUUGUUGUUGUUUGCAAACAUUUGCUGAACCCCUGUGAAAUUUCAUGUUGGAUGAAUAUGUUGUGAGGUCUGCUUAGAACCUUAGAGGCAGACUUUUAGAAAUGAACCACGUGCAAAACCUUGUCCCAUUAUCAAGGUUGUGAUAAUGACAAGUAAUUCAGUCGUGGUGUGGACCAGGCCACAAGGGAAUGUGGGGGUGGAGAAAGGUACAGGAGGGAUUAUUUCUGCUGGAGGAAGGAGCAAGGGCAAGGUGGUCCAGCAGGGAUCUCUGAAGACAGAGAGUGCAGGCUGGACUUGAAGCAUAUUAGGAGUGUUUUAAUUCUUUCGGUACUUCCCAGUCAGUAGGUUAAAUGGUCACGAAUUCAAUCAUUCAUUGAAUCGUUUGGUAGCUAUAUAUUCAGUACCUAUGAUUUUCUUAGUGAGCUAGCUAAGGAAAUCCUUAGUGAGUCAGCUGGAUAAAUCAUUAGAUCAACCACUCAUCCCAACAACUAGUUAGCUGGCCCUCUGAUAGGUAACAAGCUAUAUAAUCAAGCAUUUGGAGAGUAAAUAGAAGAAGUGAAAAAGUCUGUCUAUUGCCCCCAGAGAGGCUACCCAUGAACCACAAUGGCCAAAAGUGUCCAGUAAAUUCUAUAGCUUCUUAUUGAGAAAAAGGUCGGUUUGCCCUCUAGCAGCAUCAAGUGUCCUUCUGGGUGAAGGCGGGAUAUCCCCUCACCUGGGUGAGGUGGUAAGUACAUCUCUUAAUUUUAUAACAGAAUGACAGCUCUAUUGUCUUCCAGGCUGGUAUCUAAAGUAUGAAGAUGUAUAUAUAUAAAAUUAUAGUUUAUUUUAUUUUCAAUUCUAAAACAAUAUAUGCUUACUGAAAAAAAUAGAAAAAUACAGCUAAGAUUAAAGAAGAUAACUACUCUCAUUAUUUGCCCCUUUUCUUCCUUUUCUUUAUGAUUUUACAUGAUUAGAAUCAUUGUAUGUACAAUGUAUACAUUGUAUAUAAUUUAUUAUUACAUGCUUUUUUCAUAUAACAUAAAUUUCUCAUUUCAUAUCAAAUGACUGCAUAAUUUUUCCUCAUUUUUGUACCAUUAUUUUCCUAAUAGAUUUAAGAAUCUAACCUUUUAACAUUUGAUAUUUCUUAGGGUAAAUUUAUAUAAGUGGAAUUUUUAGUUAAGGAGAAGGGCAUUAUUAAGACUCUCUUUCUUAUUUUCUUUUCUUUUUUUUUUUGAGACAGAGUCUCGCUCUGUUGCCCAGGCUGGAAUGCAAUGACAUGAGCGCAGUUCACUGCAACCUCUGCCUCCUAGGUUCAAGUGAUUCCCCUGACUCAGCCUUCCCAGUAGCUGGGACUGCAGGCAUGUGACAUCGCACCUGGCUAAUUUUUGUAUUUUUAGUAGAGAUGGGGUUUCACCAUCUUGGCCAGGCUGGUCUUGAACUCCUGACCUCAUAAUCCACCCACCUUGGCCUCCCAAAGUGCUGGGCUUACAGGCGUGAACCACCGUACCAGGCCAAGACUCUCAAUAAAUAUUUUGAAAUUAUUGCGGUCACAAGAGUUUUUAUUCUCAUGGUUACAGUAAUGUGCAGGGUCGAUUUUAGAUUGUCUGCUGUUUAUUUCCUGCCCCAAACAUGAUUGAGACAAUGAAUUAAGCCCUUUCCUUGUAUCUGAUUGGGUCAGCAAAAAGCAAGAGGUUUGAACUGUGUUAGUUCAGAUCCCUUACACUGAGUAACAAAUACAAAGCCCUUAGUUUUUAUUAUGAGCUAUUACAAAAGCUGGCCAUCUUGGCAUCUUCUAAGCCAUCACUGAGGACCCCACUCAUUACGUUACUCAACAUCCCUUAUAUCAGGCUGUAGUAUUUCUCUUUCAUUUUAGCCGUGUUUCCACUUUUUGCCGGUGACAUUUGGCUAUCAAGAAGCUCAUAGUUCACACUGGUGUUUGCUGGGUUGACUAAAGUCAUCUCUCCUUCCCUUUAGGGGUGGUGGAGAAUAGGCUCACGAUCAUUGGCCAAAUGCACUUCAGAGCAUCAGCUGGAUUGAUGGUGUAUUAGUUCAUUCUCAUACUGCUAUGAAGAAAUACCUGAGACUGGGUCAUUUAUAAAGAAAAGAGGGGCUGGGCACAGUGGCUUACACCUGUAAUCCCAGCACUUUGGGAGGCCAAGUUGGGCAGAUCACCUGAGGUCAGGAGUUUGAGACCAGCCUGGCCAACAUGCAGAAGCCCUGUCUCUACAAAAAAUACAAAAAUUAGUCAGGCAUGGUGGCAGGCGCCUGUAAUCCCAGCUACUUGGGAGGAUGAGGCAGGAGAAUAGCUUGACUCUGGGAGGCUGAGGUUGCAGUGAGCCGAGAUCACUCCACUGCACUCCAGCCUGGGCAACAGAGUGAGAUUCUAUCUCAAAAAAAUAAAAAUAAAAAAAAAAAAGAAAAGAGGUUUAAUUGACUCACAGUUCUGCAUGUCUGAGAGAACUCAGGAAACUAAUAAUCGUGGCAGAAGGCACCACUUCACAGGGCAGCAGGAGGGAGAGGGAGUGCCAGAGUAAGGGGGAUGCCCCUUAAAAAAAUCAUCAGAUCUCAUGAGAACUCACUCACUGUCAUGAGAACAGCAUGGUGGAAACUGUACCCAUAAUUCAAUCACCUCCCACCAGGUCUCUCCCAUGACAUGUAGGGAUUAUGGAAACUAUAAUUCAAGACGAGAUUUGGGUGGGGACACAGCCAAACCACAGCAGAUGGCAAGUAAGCUUCCAAAAUGGCAGUGCUCUCUUCUAGCCACUGUGUUGGGGGAAGGGGUGGGACCUCAUACUUCUUCCCUGAGCUAGUCUUGGGAUCUGCAUGUUUUGCCAAGCAGACUGUGAGUCCAUUUUUUUCAAGCCACUACAGGGGAAAGAUUAUGGGCCUGCUUCUAGAAAACCAGUGGAGUAGAAGCAGGAGGAGAAUGGUGACCAUCCUGGUUGGUGGUGGUGGGUGGCAGAGAGGGUUGAUUCGCUGAGCAGGUGGCUUAUCACAGUAGUCUAAGAGAGGCUGGAAAGCAGGAGUCAGCUCUGCUCUGAUGAGACCAGAGGAGCAAAAGGCAGUGACUGUCUCCUGAUGCCCCUUAAUCUGUGACCACCUAUGGGUCACCCAUCCUGUUAGUUAUUCCUCCUCCCCAAGGGGAGAGAGAUGGGAAAGGUUCACUCGAACCCCCACUACUUUGUAGGCUGGGAAGAGGAAGACUCUCCCUUGGUAGAGAUGUGAAGAAGAGAAAAUGAAGAUUAUCCUCCAAGGAUACUUAACCAAAGUAGCCACUUAACUUCUUCCUUAAAAAGGGACAUAAUUGUCCUUUUUUCCCCCUGCAAUGGACUGAAUUGCACCCCUCCCUAAAUUCAUAUGCUGGAACCCUAACCCCAAAUGUAUUUAGAGAGGAGGGCUUUGGGAGAUAAUUAGGUUCAGAUGAAUUCAUAAGGAUAGUGCCUUCAUGAUGGGAUUACCGCCUUUAUAAGAAGAAAGAAGAGAAAUUGGACAGCUUGCCCACACCUGCUUGCUCUCUCUCUCUCUGCCAUGUGAGGACAUAACAAGAAGUCAAGUCAGCUGUCUACAAGCCAGGAAGAAAGCCCUUACCAGAAUCCACCAUCCUGGCACCCUGAUCUUGGACUUCCAGCCUCCAGAACCGUGAGAAAAUAAAUUUCUGUCUUUUAAGCCACCUGGUCUAUGGUAUUUUGUAAUGGCAGCCCAAGCAAACUAAUACACCUUAGCAAAAAAGGUGACAUUCCUGAUUUUUCACUUUAUUUUUAUCUUGACAUUUGCUAUUCUAAAUGUACUUAUUUUUAAAUUGCAAGCAACCUGAAUUUUUAUAUUUUCUAUAGGCAACUAAUCAUAAACCUGGAAUUCUAAGGCGAACAUGCAUAAGACACGGUGAGCAAACCAAGAUGUUCUCUGGGCAUGACUUGAACAAGCCAGGAUCAGUGAGAACGGGAGUAAUCAGGUAUGGUUUUCUAUGGGUGGCAGGGCUGGAGUUGGGUUUGAGUGGGUGUAAGGUAUGGAGAAGAGGAAGGUAAAGUGAGUCAUGAGAUCAAAGGCAACGCUGGAGUUGGAAAUAACCCGUGGCUAGAUAUGAACUACUGUCCUUUGGCCCUUUACAGUUUGUAAAGUCCUUUAAGAUCCAUUACACCACAAAAUUAUCUUGCCAACUCUACAAAGUGAAUAUAAUUAUCAUCUCCAUUUUAUUCAUAAGGAGCUAGACUCAGAGAGAUCCGAUGGUGCAUCUGAGACUCACACCUAAGUUUUUGGGCUGUAAAUUUUAUCAUCCCUCCUGCUCCUUAUUGUAUACUGAGUUGGGUAAGGAAAUCCAUUUGACCAAAGGGGAGGGAAGAAGUUCUCUGGAGAGCAGUGAGAAACUAUGGGGUUGAGCUGAGGCCAAAUCAGACCAACAAGAUCCCUGAGAUCCAGGUGGUGCAGAUAUUAUGCAGAAAGAAACAGGGAGCCAUUGAGGGCUUUUGAACAAAGGUGUGACGUUAGUACACAUAGUGAGAUCCACCAGGCUGAGCGCUAGUGUGCACAGAAGAUUGGGAGGUCCAAAGAAGGAAGAGAGUAGCAGAGAUGCCAGUGGGGGAGUUUCUGGAAAGAGCCUGCAUAUCCAGAUUGCAUCAUUAGUAUCCAGGAAAUGUUGGUUUAUUUUUCAUCAAUGCGCCAUUGGAAUUAGAACUGGAAUUGAACAUAACUGAAAUAUUCCAUUCCUUUCAUUCACCAUCUUUAUUAAUGGGCCAGUAUUGCAGAGAUUCGGUCCAUGUUUUUUAUCAGCAUUUUUGCUAUACCUGCAUCUCUGGAGGUUUCUCUGGCCGGCCUAUAAGCAAAAUUAUAAUUAGCACAAUGAACUAACCUGUCUCAGAGCUGGAGCUAACAUCUACU